rnacentral:rRNA from 1 species
UACGUAGGGGGCUAGCGUUGUCCGGAAUCAUUGGGCGUAAAGCGCGCGUAGGCGGCUGGAAUAGUCCGGUGUGAAAUCCACAGGCUUAACCUGUGAAUGCCGCUGGAAACUGUCUGGCUAGAGUCCGGAAGGGGCGAGUGGAAUUCCUGGUGUAGCGGUGAAAUGCGCAGAUAUCAGGAGGAACACCAAUGGCGAAGGCAGCUCGCUGGGACGGUACUGACGCUGAGGCGCGAAAGCGUGGGGAGCGAACAGG